CAGAACAUCGAAGUGAGCCCCACCAUGCCUACGUGUACAAAUAGCCAUUGAUGGCUUUGCCAUGCUUACUGAACUGAGCAGACCCAGGCAGCCCCAAAUCAGAGCCUGCCCUCCGGCAAGGGCUCCCGGACCUCUUCACAGGUGAAGUCCACGGAGACCCGGAAAGUUUUGUGAGGCCCAGGAAGUACCCCUCAAGUGUAUUCGUUGCUAUUAUUUCCAGCAAGAAUUGCCACUUCAUUUCAUGUCAGUGCCCCAUCCGUUCUUCCUGACUUGGCUCACAUACAAGGAGACAUUUUUUUGCAUACCGGUGAAUAGAUGCUCUUAGGAACCAGUGUGGAUUGGUGGCUCGAGCAUAGGUCCUGGGUGUGAGCCACGUGCCUAGGAUGAAAUAACGUAUACUUUUCUGGGGAUGCACACCUGGAACGCAGAC